rnacentral:rRNA from 1 species
AUUGAACGCUGGCGGCCGGCCUAACACAUGCAAGUCGAACGAGUGGCGGAAGGGUGAGUAAUGUCUGAGAAACUGCCCGAUGUAGGGGGAUAACUACUGGCACCGGUAGCUAAUACCGCAUACCAUCGGAUGUGCCCAGAUGGGAUUAGCUAGUAGGUGGGGUAAUGGCUCACCUAGGCGACGUUCCCUAGCUGGGCUGAGAGGAUGACCAGCAAAACGGGAACUGAGACACGGUCCAGACUCCUACGGGAGGCAGCAGUGGGGAAUAUUGCACAAUGGGCGCAAGCCUGAUGCAGCCAUGCCGCGUGUAUGAAGAAGGCCUUCGGGUUGUAAAGUACUUUCAGCGAGGAGGCGUUACUCGCAGAAGAAGCACCGGCUAACUCCGUGCCAGCAGCCGCGGUAAUUC